UACUUUGCCUCUCGUUUACUUGGAACUGUACAUACGUUUACAAAUGCAGCAUACCCAGCAAGAAAUCGAGGCAGACUGAGCAGGCAGCAAGCACAUCAGGUCAACAAACCAAAAAGCUAGUAUAUUCCCUUAAGAUAAAGACAUCAUCGAUCAAGAAAUACCAGGAUUGAACUUCUGGCACCGUUGCAACUUGCAAGCGAUUCUCCCUUCGAUGCUUUCUGCGCUGAUUUGGCUUCAUCAGAUGGCCGGAUAGAACGUCCGGCCUAGUGGGCCACCAGCCUCCUCUUUUUCUCUCGGGAUGGCCCUACUUGGGAUCUCUCUGCGCCGCCGACCAGAGCCAUCUCCUUUCCUUCUCCUCGGCAAGUUCCCGCUCCCAUCCUUCCUCUGUUCCUCUUUGUGUUGUUGGUAGUGCUGACCAUUCCUUCUUCUUCACCUGGAUGGCUGGAUCCUUCUUUGGUGGAUCCAUCCGCAUGCUCUGUGAUGUGCUCUUCGUGGUUCCAGGGCCUUUGGCCCUCCUGUUGGUGUUGACUCCAGCAGACGAACCGCCACAGGCCUUACACAUCUUCCAUGCGGGCCAAUAUUCCUAGUCCGUUAUAGCAGCCGUACGAAAGGUUCCCUUGUCACGCUCUGCCUUCUGCACCCUAGAGCGAUUUUGAGUUUCACUUCUGUGCCAGGCUACCCGGUUGUGAUUGCGAAGUGGCUUUCUGUUCAACAGCUUUUAGCCUGAUGAACACCUUGACGUAAUAAGUUUGUGAGUGUAGAGAGGGUACGCGAAAAUUAUGUGUGGAUUAACCUGC